ACGAACGCUGGCGGCGUGCUUAACACAUGCCAGUCGAACGGAAAGGCCCUGCUUUUGUGGGGUGCUCGAGUGGCGAACGGGUGAGUAACACGUGAGUAACCUGCCCUUGACUUUGGGAUAACUUCAGGAAACUGGGGCUAAUACCGGAUAGGAGCUCCUGCUGCAUGGUGGGGGUUGGAAAGUUUCGGCGGUUGGGGAUGGACUCGCGGCUUAUCAGCUUGUUGGUGGGGUAGUGGCUUACCAAGGCUUUGACGGGUAGCCGGCCUGAGAGGGUGACCGGCCACAUUGGGACUGAGAUACGGCCCAGACUCCUACGGGAGGCAGCAGUGGGGAAUAUUGCACAAUGGGCGGAAGCCUGAUGCAGCAACGCCGCGUGCGGGAUGACGGCCUUCGGGUUGUAAACCGCUUUCGCCUGUGACGAAGCGUGAGUGACGGUAAUGGGUAAAGAAGCACCGGCUAACUACGUG
rnacentral:rRNA from 1 species